CAAAGAUUAGCCCAAGUGGGAUUAGCUAGUUGUAAGGUAAUGGCUUACCAAGGCAACGAUCCCUAGUUGUUUGAGAGGGUGAUCAGCCACACUGGGACUGAGACACGGCCCAGACUCCUACGGGAGGCAGCAGUGGGGAAUAUUGCACAAUGGGCGCAAGCCUGAUGCAGCCAUGCCGCGUGUGUGAAGAAGGCCUUCGGGUUGUAAAGCACUUUCAGUAAGGAGGAAAGGUUAAGUGUUAAUAGCGCUUAGCUGUGACGUUACUUACAGAAGAAGCACCGGCUAGCUCCGUGCCAGCAGCCGCGGCAAUACGGAGGGUGCGAGCGUUAAUCGGAAUUACUGGGCGUAAAGCGUACGCAGGCGGUUUGUUAAGCGAGAUGUGAAAGCCCCGGGCUCAACCUGGGAACUGCAUUUCGAACUGGCAAACUAGAGUGUGAUAGAGGGUGGUAGAAUUUCAGGUGUAGCGGUGAAAUGCGUAGAGAUCUGAAGGAAUACCGAUGGCGAGGGCAGCCACCUGGGUCAACACUGACGCUCAUGUACGAAAGCGUGGGGAGCAAACAG
rnacentral:rRNA from 1 species